GUUGGUAGUACCAGGGAGGGUUGAUGGGAGCUGUAGUUCUUUACAGAGGUGCAACGGCAGUGAAUGUUGCUUUGCUAUAGUUUAUAGUGAAGAAAGUCUGUUUAAAAAAAAACACAUCUCCCAGCAUGCCUCGGCGCUGGCAGUACCAGGGAGGGUUGAUGGGAGCUGUAGUUCUUUACAGAGGUGAGAAUGAGAGAAUGAGUCAGUCAUACAAACCAAAAAAACUACAACUCCCAGCAUGCUUCACAAACAGCGACAUGCGCGGCUUACAAAUAGAAGAACUGCGACGAGCCCGAGAUUAGACUGUGUGCGUAUUGUAUGAUCUGUCUUUGCUUCGCAUUUAUAUACUUUUAUAUUGUGUUUAAUUUUCCGUCAGUCGCUUUGGAUAAAAAGACGUCUUCUAAAUAAUUAAAUAAUAAUAAUAGAUUAAAAAAAAAAGAGAAGA